GAUGAACGCUAGCUACAGGCUUAACACAUGCAAGUCGAGGGGCAGCAUGAUUGAAGCUUGCUUCAAUUGAUGGCGACCGGCGCACGGGUGAGUAACACGUAUCCAACCUUCCGUACACUCAGGGAUAGCCUUUCGAAAGAAAGAUUAAUACCUGAUGGUAUCUUAAGCACACAUGUAAUUAAGAUUAAAGAUUUAUCGGUGUACGAUGGGGAUGCGUUCCAUUAGGUAGUAGGCGGGGUAACGGCCCACCUAGCCUACGAUGGAUAGGGGUUCUGAGAGGAAGGUCCCCCANAUUGGAACUGAGACACGGUCCAAACUCCUACGGGAGGCAGCAGUGAGGAAUAUUGGUCAAUGGACGAGAGUCUGAACCAGCCAAGUAGCGUGAAGGAUGAAGGUCCUACGGAUUGUAAACUUCUUUACCAGGGAAUAAAGUGAGUCUCGUGAGUAC
rnacentral:rRNA from 1 species